rnacentral:lncRNA from 10 species
GGGGCAGGUAAGCAACCAGAGGCAGGAAAGGAAAAAUGGGAAGGACGUGAUAGAGCUUCAGCAACAUGGAGAGGAGAUAGCCGGUCUGGCUAGGAUGGAAGAAAUGUACAUGGAGAAGAAAGACAGAAGAACCAUCACUGAGCACUAAACUAAUCAGCCAUAAUGUGCAGAUUGACUGGCAAGCCUAUCACCACCUUGAUAACAGAUGACAUUAAAGAGAAAGGUACACAAAUAUCCAAGAUUGGAAAGAAGAAAGAAAAUGACGACAGAAUUUUGCAGUCUACAAGGCAAACACUGCCAUUCAUGUAGUUAUGGAGUUCCUACUAUGUGCAGACAAUGGGAAACUUUACGAAGGAACCUCGACGUAGCCUGUUCCCAAUGCCCUCUGUGGAAUCAGCCAGGUCCAUGCCACAAGUAUGAAUUGUUUCCAGUGCGGCAGUCCUGGGAGUGCCUGAGCCACAAGCCAGUGUCCCCUACUCAGUUGUGCCCUGUGGGGACUGAAGCAGGACUAUAU